AAAUAACAUACAACCGCAAAGGAAAAUUCGAGCACAAAAAAUGCACAAGGUUACUUACCUUCAUAUGAUGCACUGGGUGUCUUACAGGACCUUACUUUUCCAUUUAUUUAAAUUCGCAAUAUCCCCAUGAUAGUUAUUGUUUUUGCUAUAUCUAGUUUUAUGUUCUUACCGCUUUACGAAUAUCAAUGUGAAAAAUCAAUUAUAAAGCAUAAGGCUUUCAUAAACAAAGCUUUUGUCAUCGCGUACCGCA